UGUCUGUGCCUGAAGCGGCCCGUGUCAGUGACAAGGGUCUGGGCUGUGGCUCAAGGAGGUGUCGAGCCUCGAAGAUUCGUUGCUGUUGAGGCUGCGGGGAAACUCUGGCAGAGCCUCAUGAGAAACCUCGCUCCUACCUCACUCAUAGAACUGGUGACUGGACUGUUGAUAAACCAAACAUUCUCCAUCUCCUUGGAUCAGGUCAAAUUGUAAUUGGAGCCACAACAGGACCAGGAAACAGGUCAUCAGAACCUAUGAAAAGUUUUGAACAAGACUUUUACAAAUGCAGUAUAACAGACUGUGCGUGGCUCCCUUGGUGACAAUAUUUUAAUAAUAUCCUUUCUCUAGUCGGGUGACCAGAACUGCAUGCAGUAUUCCAAAUGUGGUCUUAUGAAGGUCUAGUACAAAGAUGAACCAACUCCUGUACUCGAUGAUGAAAUGCUGGAACAGUCCCAUGUUGGAGUCCAAAGGCUGAAUCAGUACCUCAGCGUACACGCGCCCAUGUGACCACCAACACUCAGAGGGUGGAAGUUCAUAGUGAGGGGU